ACGGAAGGCAGCAGUGGGGAAUAUUGGGCAAUGGGCGAAAGCCUGACCCAGCAACGCCGCGUGAAGGAAGAAGGUUUUCGGAUUGUAAACUUCUUUUAUCAGGGACGAAGAAAGUGACGGUACCUGAUGAAUAAGCCACGGCUAACUACGUGCCAGCAGCCGCGGUAAUACGUAGGUGGCAAGCGUUAUCCGGAUUUACUGGGUGUAAAGGGCGCGUAGGCGGGGAUGCAAGUCAGGUGUGAAAUCUAUGGGCUUAACCCAUAAACUGCAUUUGAAACUGUAUCUCUUGAGUGUCGGAGAGGUAGACGGAAUUCCUAGUGUAGCGGUGAAAUGCGUAGAGAUUGGGAGGAACACCAGUGGCGAAGGCGACUUACUGGGCCGUAACUGACGCUGAGGCGCGAAAGCGUGGGGAGCGAACAGGAUUAGAUACCCUGGUA
rnacentral:rRNA from 1 species